AAAUUCCUUACAUUUCACUUCAUUACAUUGCUUGCAUCAUUUCCUUUUACAUCACACUUACCUCAAAAUGAGCUUUACAUUCUUCUCUUUACAUCACUAGUCAUCAAAUACAAAAGAUGAACAUAAGGUACUCUACUAACAAAAUGUAACCCAACUCAACUCUGGUGGCCUCUGUCUAAGGUGCGAUACCUUUACCUCGGUCGCUCGCCGGCUCGCUCGGUCCCAGCUCUGUGGAAAUAGUGGGGUGAGAACUACAACAAAGUUUCCAGUGGGUUCGGCCUCAACAUCACCGACUUUCCCACUAGGACUAACUCAGGCAUAAUAGAAAAAAUAAGCUGCAUAUAGUAACNCACGCGAUGCAUCCGGUCUCUCUUUGGGGGACCGGUCUCUCGGGGACCGGUCUCUCAAGCAGGGACCGGUUCCCGAGAGCUAGUUUCUCAGGACUUAGCCGAUUUUUCGGCUGUCUCAUUCCUCACGCGUUCGGGGACCGGUCUCUCCCACUAGGGACCGGUCCCCGAGAGCUCAAAACUGCAGAAUGCAGAUUUUGAUCCUUUAGCUCUCGAAAACCUUCCGUAAUUCACUUUUGCUCAUUUUAACACCUUCGGACUUUCCGAAGUGUACCAUCCACGCACUUUGGUCAAUUUGACUAAAGUUCGAUAUUUAUUUUUCGAAUUUUCGGUAUAUUACAUUCCUGCACUAAUCUCAUAGUGUUUCACUACACUAACGUUCUUAUGCCACUCGUUCUCGUGUUCAACACUAACUAGAUGCCACUUGUUCUUGUUACAUGUUUCCAAUAUUCUAGUUUACACUUUACUAGGUUUUCAUCCACAUAGGCACAUUCAUCAUUUAUCAUCUCAUUAUAGUGUUCGAAGUCAUCAUGUCACGCUAUCAUGCAUACUAGGUCCAAGUGUCAAGCAAGCGACUCUACACUACCACUAGCAUGCAAGAAUAUACAACAACAUACUAAAUACCCUAUAAUGCAAUAUGGCAAGAUGCUUAUGAGAUCAACAGUGAGCCUCAGACAUAGGGAGCAGUUCAACUGCUUCGGGAUGGCACCACCCACCUUUUGACGAUGCUACGAAGUAGGAAACCCAAUCUCACGAUCACUCGUCGCCGCUUCGACCUCUCGAGCGGAAACGAAGCCGAAACGCUCUUCGCUUGGCGAUAUCUCUGCACCGACUCGACGAAUCGUCGAACCGUCGCCGCCAACGCGUUUAAACACCUAUCAAUUAGGUUUACAACCAACUAAUUUAGAUCAAAACCCUAAAUUUUCCAAAACAUUAGAGCCCUAGGUUUCAACAAUGCGAAAAUCCACGAUUCUAGCUUGAGAUUCAAGCAUGAAGCAUCUACUAGGGACACUAAAGUUCCAACAAAACCAUUUCUAGAGUAUUUAAACUCUACCCUAAAAAUCCACCAUUAAUGCUCUAGGAGCUUACCUCUCAAGCAUGCUCCAAACUAGAGGAAGAAGAUGAAGAAGAUAAUGCCUUCCUCCUUGACCUUCUUCUCCUUCUACUCCUUCUCCUUCUUUCACCUUAGAGGGAGAGAGAGCAAGAGCUUAGAGAGAGAGAGGAGUGUUUAGGUUUAGCUUUGGGGAAGAAAUGAGAAGAGAGAGAGAGCAAGAGCUCUCAUAUAGCUUCACUCAUGUAACAUUGCAUUUUAGCCACUCAACUUUCCAACCAUGAAACAGCCCAUCAUUGGGCAUUUUCGGGCACGGGGACCGGCCCCUCUAAGGGAGGACCGAUCCCCGAGAGUAAUUUUUCCUAGGUUGAGCUUCGGCUCAACCCUUGCACGCGUACGGGAACCGGUCCCUCUUAAGGCGGACCGGUUCCCGAGAGCAACCUUGGCAGGUUGAGCAUCAGCUUUGUAGCACACUGGACCUUUGCAAAUUGCAUGGUUCGAGUGUUUGAUGUGUACUCCGAACUUUUCCACACUUGGUGGAAGGCCGUAGAUGAUAUUUCGGCCUAAAAGUUCGAUCUCUAGAGUUUUGACUUUGUCCUGAGAGUUUUCACUCUCGGAGACCGGUCCUUGAUAUGAGAGACCGGUCCCCUCAGCUCAGUGUUGCGGCAGCUGGCGAGGCAACAGGUCCCUGGCAGGCGAGACCGGUCCCCGAGCGCGUCUGCGCGGGGAGAGUCCGGUCCCGUGCGGGUAGAGACCGGUUCCCGAACGUUGGUUUUGCGGGACGAACUGAGAGACCGGUCCCAGGUGUCGGGGAGACCGGUCCCUCAGUGCGAAAACAGCCUAGACCGGGCAGUGCACGGAGUGGAUUUUUGAGGGACCUAAGUGGAUUUUGUUGCUUUUGAUGGCUUAUAGAGCCUCUUCUCUUCCUCUCACUCUCAUUUUUUCUCCCUCACACCCAUUCUAGAGAGAGAAAGAGGAGGAGAAGAAGAAGGAGUUGGAGGAGAAGAGCUCACUUGGAGGCCUUGGAGCAUCAUCUUCUUCCUCAUUUCUCACCUUGGUAGCUUGGAGCUUGCUUUUGAAGCUUGGUGGUGGACCACUCCUCAACCCUUGAGGAUCUUGGACUUGGUUUGGAGCUUCCUAGAGGUAUGUGACUAGUUCUUCUCCUCUAGAUUCUAGUUUUGAAGCUUUUUGCUUGAUGAAACCCUAGAUUGGGAUUCUAGGGUUAGUUUUGGGGCUUUUUGAUUUGAGAGCUUUGGAACCUUUUUGAUUGGUUUAGAACCUUCCUUUAGGUUGGAUUGGGAGGGUUCUUGCCCCCAUUUGGAGUUUGAGUGAGGAUUUCUUCACUUAAGGUGAGUUUCCUCCAUCUUAGCCUAGGUUACUUAUUGAUUGAGCUUAGGGUUGAUCGUAAGGUUUGCUUAACCCCUGUUCCUACAUCUUUAGGGUGCUAGGAGACUAGUCGGCACCUUCGUCGGAGCUUACGAAGAAUCGCGAGAGUUGUGGUAGGUUUGACUUCAUGAAAACGGGGCAAAAUGGCCCCUAUGCUUUCUAAAAUCUUCGUAAAGUUUUUUUUAAGAGCAAAUCCAUAUUAAACAUGAUUUAUAUGAAUUUUAGAACACUUGAUAUGCAUGCCUUAUAUAUACCUUGAAAUUUACACUCUAUAUAGUAGAGCUAUAUGUGUAGACUGCAUGCAUUGUGAAAGGUGGUUGGCUUUGCAAGUUGAGAACAUGUCUCUUAUAUUUGAAAUGAGUAGAAUUAUGCAUCAUGAACAUAAAUGCCAUGCUUGAACUCGUUGAACAAUAGUGUCAUAAAGGGGCACUUGAACCUAGCAAACUAUGAGAAUGCAACAUAGAGACAUAGCGAUAGGCCAUUGGGUAUCGACUAUAUUCCAUGUUUUAGACAUGAUGACAUAGUGAUAGGCCAUCGACACAGUUGACAUGUAUUCCAUAUUUUAGACAUGAGGACUUGAUGCUUGAGACGGACUGAUAUGCAUGCUUGCCAUUGUGCUCAUUCGCACAUGCUUGUGAGGGUCGCUCCCUACAAGCCGGCACUCCGGAGUUGGCCAUCGCGAUACGUUCGCCGUGCGGGAUUGGGCGCCGAAGUGGAUUGCUGUGGGAAAGGCUCAUUCCUAGGGUGGGGAUGUUGACUACCACGGGGCUAUUAGGCACGGUAAAGCCAGACAGCCUUCGGGUGGGUCUUAUGCCAGACAGCCUUCGGGUGGGUCUUAUCAAAGUUGAACUGUAAACAAUUAAAGUGAUAAGUGCACAUUGACUAGAAUAGUAAACAAUGACAUCUUUACUAUUUACAUCGUGGGCAUUGGAUUAGUUGCAUACUUAUGCAUUUGCAUGUUGGAUACUCUUGUGCACAUACUUGUAGUAAUUGCCUUCUUACUUAUGCAAAUCAUGCUAAGUAGAGAUAUCAUGGUUGAAUAGUAUUCAUAUUUAUUUCCUAGUUGUUCUUAUCGCUUUGGCUUAUACUUGUACACUGACCCACUUUUGUAGUUUUGGGCCUAGUGGCGUAUUUCAAUGAAGUCAGUAAUUACCCACUGAAAACUAUUAUUUAAUAGUUCUCACGCCCCUGUUUCUAUAUGUUUUCCUUUCAGAGCCUUCGGCACCGGCGUAGGCACGGGAUCUCGGCAAGGGUGUCGCGUAGCUAGCUCGGGAGAGAGUCCGUUUUGCGAUAGGUGGUUCCUUCUUUUGUUUGUGUCAGAGAGAGGGAGAGUUUUGGCACCAUGUAUAGAGAGAUCACCUUGUAUUCAGAGUUGUACUUGCUUUGGGACUCCUUUUGUGUUAUCUUAUGUUUUACCUAGCGGAUUAUCAGUUUUAUGAUCUUCUUCUUGUUGUAGCAUCUCGUAGUUACUUUGCUCUGAUACUCCUAGAUGCUUUCUUGUAUUGUUUUAUUUACCGCUUUAUUUUAGACGCCUUAUAUGUUUUAGACGUACGGCGGGUAUGGACACGCGCCGGGCGGGCUUCCGCUGGGUCCCGGGGCGUGACAAGCUCAACCCCCACAUGCUUACAGGAACCGGUCCCCUCCCAGAGGGACCGGUCCCCGAGAGCACAAAACCUGCAACUUGUACAGAUUUUGCACAGCUUGCUCUCGCAGGUCCUUCUCAAUACACUUUUUGCAUUUUUAUCGCAUUCGGACUUUCCGAAGCAUACCAACUCAACAACAAGUCGAUUCUAAUCGAAGUUCAACUCUCGGAUUUUGAUAAUUCAUUUCCUUACAAGCAGCAAAUUAAUUUUUAAACAACAAAAUUUCUGUACCUGUGGGCAUAAGAAACUCAUUAUCUAGAAAUUCAAUCCACUAUCCUAUUCUAGUCAAAAUUCAAAAUUAUUAUUUAUUUGACUACAAUAAAUAAUCAAACUUUAAUUAAAAAGUCAAACUUUAAUUCAAUGUCAGUAAAUUCUUAUACAUUCAUCAUUAUUUA
rnacentral:lncRNA from 1 species